rnacentral:ncRNA from 1 species
GACGAAUUGGAGGCGUUGAAGCGUAUGUCAUAAUCUGGUCGCUUCUCUCGGUUAUGAGAGGGGCAUACGCAGAGCCAGUAGCGAAACCGGCCACACCAGUA